UGCUCCCCCUAGGCUAGCUCUCAGCUCCGCCGCCCUCUGGGGAAUGCGAGGGUGGGGUGGCGCGCUGUCCGUGGUACUGAAGCCCGGCCGCUGUCCGUGGUGUCAGAACCGGCCUGGAACUGGAGUUGGAGCUGGAGAUGGAGAUGGAGAUGGAGAUGGAGAAGAUGGAGAUGGAGCAGGAGUCUCUGGCUGCUGCUGCAGCUGUCUCCUCGUUUACUGCUCACUACCAACAGCCACUCCAGAUAAGGGAAGGGUCUCUACCCUUGAGAUGGAGCCCCCGACACUGUUAGUCCCGGGACUCCAGGACUCCUGUCUAGGAAAGUGGGUCUCUGUUGGGCCCUGGUGGGAAUCUGCUUCUCCUCCUUCUCUGGUGCGGGAUCAGGAAAGGAAGGGGAAAUGGGGCUUGUUCCCCUGGGCUUCAACUAUUACCUGCUUCUCCAUCUCACUGCUUCAGAACCAAGCCUUUAUCCUGUCUCUUGCCUGGCUCUGAAGAAGAAAAGCAGGCCAGAUCAGGAAGAUGGAAUCAAAAGCCAAAGACAGAAGAUGAGCAAGGACAAGUGAAUAAUGAUUCAGAGGCACAAGCAUUCUGGGCACAAAGGGAUGGAAAAGAAGGUUAGUCCCCUUAAACAAAAUGUCCAGAGGCAGUGGAGUAUUCUAUGAUGUAGUAUAAAGGAUGGUGGAUCUGAAUUCCAAGAACCCUAAGUUUAAAUUCUGCCUCUGCCACCUAAAAAUAGCUAUAUGAUUCUAAGCAAGUCUCUGAGCUUCAUUUUUUUCUCCUCGGUAAACCUGGGGGAUGAACUAACAAUACCUAAUUUACAGAAUUAUUGUAAAGAUUAGAUAGUGCACUCAAAGGGUUUUACAAACCUUUAAGUAUAUAAUAUUAACUUUUAUGAUUAUCUUACUUUUAACCAGUUUAAUUUAUGAGUCAUAAUGUGCCUCUACUGUCUCCUUUUCUCCUAUCUUUCCAAUUUUUUCCUUAAAUUACAUUUUACCCUCUAGGUACAUUGUUUCUUGAGGGCUGACACUUUCAUUUUUGCAUCUCCAGCACAUAGCACUCUAUACACACUGGAUGCUUAAUGUUUAAUUUCAUUGGAUCUAGCUAGUUGCCCAAUUUUACAGAUGAGGAAAUUGAGGCCAGAGGUGGCUUGCUUAAAUACACAGCAAAAUAGACCCAGGACUAAACCCCAAUUUCCUCAUUCCCAGUCCAAUUCCAAUUUUUCUCUUAAAAAUUUUUCCCUCAAUUUACAAGCAUUUAAUUUCUUUCCUCCUGUUCCUAAUUCCAAUUCACUAUCCAUUUCACUAUGCUGAUGGGAAGAAAAGAAAGCACUAAUUUGUUAAUACUAUCUUCCCAUUACUUUGUACUUAAAAUUGUGAUUUUUUUUUUUAACACAUGGGUGUGUUUUGUUUCCCUACAGUGAAAUUUAAGCUCCUGGAGAGAAGGCACUUUUUUCAAAUUUGUGUUUCUGUAUCACAGGCACUGAACACUGGGCCUGGCACAUAGUGGGUUCUUAAUUAGUGCUUGUUGGAUUUAGUUGGACUGGCAUUAGUAUUGGGGGGUAGGGAUUUGGGACUGGUGUAUUCCUUCCUUUAACAAGCACUGAUUACUAUGUGCUAGGUACUGUGCAAAGUGCCACGGCCUAGUCUGGGCCGCCAGAGGUGAAACCCUAGGACAAUUACUAAACAUAUCCCACGAAACAGAAUGGUCCUUCCCUACUGCUUGGGGGGCCACCAGCUGUCGUUUCAGAGGGCAAGCCAUGCGCUUUGUCUUUCGCAAUAGCGACACCUAGCGAAUGGGUGGUGGUGCUGCCGCCUAGUCGCAGUCCUACUAGAGGACCAGUUUGGCUCUUUAGGACCAGAUGGCGUUUACCACUUGACCUCAGGUCAGGGGACGUGAUGCGGCUGGAUGAUUCUUGGGUCUGACGCCUUCCACCUUCUUGCCCAUGCCAGGUUGAAGGAAGGUCAGCAUCCCUGGCCUUCGCGAGCCACUUAAAAGCACAAGGAGCAAUUAGUUCUUGGCAAAGGAACAAGCCCCUUCUCCCCUCUCCCUCCCAAAAUAAAUACAAUAGGGCCUGGAAAUGGGGGGAGGAG
ensembl:lncRNA